UGUUUCCACAGUACUUUCAGUUUCUCUUCGUUUUGUUUUUCUUUUAUUUUUCUUGCUCCUCUUUCUACACACUGAAGUUGCUGUUGUUUUACAUUUACCUUUUAUUUAUUUGUAGUUUUUGAGGCAGGUUGGAGUGUAAGAAUGCAAUCUCGGCUUACAGCCGCCUCGACUUUCCAGGACUCCCUCAGGUGAUCUUCCUAUCUCAGCCUUCCAAGUGGCUGAGACUACAGGAAUCACUUAAUUCUGUGAUGUCGAAGCUGAAGUGAGCCGUGAUGAUGCCUUGCCCUCCAGUCUGAGUGUUUCAGAAGGUGGAGUUUCGCUCUUAUUGCCCAGGCUGGAGUUCAGUGGCGCGACCUCAGCUCACCGCAACCUCUGCCGCCUGUGUUCAAGAGAUUUUCCAGUCUUCACCCUUUCGAGUAGCUGAAACCACAGGCAAACACCUCCAGGCCUGGCUAAUUUUUUUUUUUUUCAUAGAGACAAGGUAGCUCCAUAAUGGUCAGGCUGGUCUAGAACACCCAACCUGAGGCGUACCACCCAACUUGACCACCCAAAGUGCUGAGAUUAAAGGCGUGAGCUCCGCGUCUGGCCAUAACAUCUUAUCCUAUAGAAGCCCAGAGAGGUUAGGCGUCAUCUCACGUGUCGAGGUGAUCUCGAACUUUUAGGCUCCAGAGAUCCUCCCGCAUCGGCCUCCCGGAGUGCUGUGAUGACACGCGUGGGCACGACGGAGUUUCACUCUUGUCGCCCAGGGUGGAGUACGAUGGCGGCUCUCGGCUCACCGCACCCUCCGCCUCCCAGGUUCAAGUGAUUCUCCUGCCUCAGCCUUCCCGAGUAGCUGGAAUGACAGAGAUGAGCCAUCGUGCCCGGCUAAUUUUUCUAUUUUUACUACAGAUGGGGUUUCUCCAUCUUGGUCAGGCUGGUCUUCAACUUCCGACCGUUGGAGAAUCUUAACUUUCUUGGUGGUGGUUGUUUUCCUUUUUCUUUUUUUUCUUUUCUUUUCUUUCCUUCUCCUCCCCCCCCACCCCCCCUUGUCGUCGUCCUCCUCCUCCUCCUCCUCCUCCUCCUCCUCCUCCUCCUCCUCCUCCUCUUUCAUUUCUUUCAGCUGGGCUCUCCUACGUGUGUUGCUCUGUUGCUCACGCUGGUCUCAAACUCCUGGCCUUGACGCUUCUCCCGUCACAUCCGCCGUCUGGUUGUUGAAAUGAGCAUCUCUCGUAAAAUGGAAAAGAUGAAAGAAAUAAACACGAAGACGGAAAGCACGGUGUGAACGUUUCUCUUGCCGUCUCCCGGGGUGUACCUUGGACCCGGAAACACGGAGGGAGCUUGGCUGAGUGGGUUUUCGGUGCCGAAACCUCCCGAGGGCCUCCUUCCCUCUCCCCCUUGUCCCCGCUUCUCCCCCAGCCGAGGCUCCCACCGCCGCCCUGGCAUUUUCCAUAGGAGAGGUAUGGGAGAGGACUGACACGCCUUCCAGAUCUAUAUCCUGCCGGACGUCUCUGGCUCGGCGUGCCCCACCGGCUACCUGCCACCUUCCAGGGAGCUCUGAGGCGGAUGCGACCCCCACCCCCCCGUCACGUCCCGCUACCCUCCCCCGGCUGGCCUUUGCCGGGCGACCCCAGGGGAACCGCGUUGAUGCUGCCUUCGGAUCCUCCGGCGAAGACUUCCACCGGAUGCCCCGGGUGGGCCGGUUGGGAUCAGACUGGACCACCCCGGACCGUGCUGUUCUUGGGGCACACAGAUGAGACGCACGAGAGGGAGAAACAGCUCAAUAGAUACCGCUGACCUUCAUUUGUGGAAUCCUCAGUCAUCGACACACAAGACAGACGGAGUCUCGCUCUGGGCGGGGCGAGGCGAGGCGAGGCACAGCGCAUCGCUUUGGAAGCCGCGGCAACGCCUUUCAAAGCCCCAUUCGUAUGCACAGAGCCUUAUUCCCUUCCUGGAGUUGGAGCUGAUGCCUUCCGUAGCCUUGGGCUUCUCUCCAUUCGGAAGCUUUGACAGGCGCAACCCCACCCAGAGGCUGGCUGCGGCUGAGGAUUAGGGGGCUGCGGUGCGGUGGCGCUCUCUCGGCUCACUGAAACCUCUGCUUCCCGGGUUCCAGUGAUUCUUCUUCGGUAGCUGGGAUUACAGGCGCACACCAUGACGGCCGGCUCAUAUUCCUAUUUUCAGUAGAGACGGGGUUUCUCCACGUUGGCCACGCUGGUCUCGAACUCCUGACCUCAAAUGAUCCGCCUUCCUGGGCCUCCCAAAGUGCUGGAAACGACAGGCCUGAGCCGCCGGGAUUUCAGCCUUUAAAAGCGCGGGCCCUGCCACCUUUCGCUGUGGCCCUUACGCUCAGAAUGACGUGUCCUCUCUGCCGUAGGUUGACUCCUUGAGUCCCCUAGGCCAUUGCACUGUAGCCUGGGCAGCAAGAGCCAAACUCCGUCCCCCCACCUCCCCGCGCACAUAAUAACUAACUAACAAACUAACUAACUAACUAAACUAACUAAAUAAAUAAAAUCUCUACACGUCACCUCUAAGUGUGUGUUCCCGUGAGGAGUGAUUUCUAAGAAAUGGCACUGUACACUGAACGCAGUGGCUCACGUCUGUCAUCCCGAGGUCAGGAGUUCGAGACCAGCCCGGCCAACGUGGUGAAACCCCCGUCUCUACUGAAAAUACGAAAUGGAGUCAGGCGCCGUGGGGCAGGCACCUGUAACCCCAGCUACUCGGGAGGCUGGGGUGGAAGAAUUGCUUGAACCUGGCAGGCGGAGGCUGCAGUGACCCAAGAUCGCACCACUGCACUACAGCCUGGGCGACAGAGUGAGACCCGGUCUCCAGAUAAAUACGUACAUAAAUAAAUACACACAUACAUACAUACAUACAUACAUACAUACAUACAUACAUACAUCCAUGCAUACAGAUAUACAAGAAAGAAAAAAAGAAAAGAAAAGAAAGAGAAAAUGAAAGAAAAGGCACUG